rnacentral:rRNA from 1 species
AGAGUUUGAUCCUGGCUCAGAUUGAACGCUGGCGGCAGGCUUAACACAUGCAAGUCGAGCGGAAACGGCAUAGGCAAUCCCUUCGGGGUGCGCUUAUGGACGUCGAGCGGCGGACGGGUGAGUAAUGCCUGGGAAUCUGCCUGGUAGUGGGGGAUAACUUGCCGAAAGGUAAGCUAAUACCGCGUACGCCCUACGGGGGAAAGCAGGGGAUCUUCGGACCUUGCGCUAUCAGAUGAGCCCAGGCCGGAUUAGCUAGUUGGUAGGGUAAAGGCCUACCAAGGCGACGAUCCGUAGCUGGUCUGAGAGGAUGAUCAGCCACACCGGGACUGAGACACGGCCCGGACUCCUACGGGAGGCAGCAGUGGGGAUUAUUGGACAAUGGGGGGAACCCUGAUCCAGCCAUGCCGCGUGUGUGAAGAAGGUCUUCGGAUUGUAAAGCACUUUAAGUUGGGAGGAAGAGCUCCGGGCUAAUACCCUGCGAGUUUUGACGUUACCAACAGAAUAAGCACCGGCUAACUUCGUGCCAGCAGCCGCGGUAAUACGAAGGGUGCGAGCGUUAAUCGGAAUUACUGGGCGUAAAGCGCGCGUAGGUGGUUUGUUAAGUUGGAAGUGAAAGCCCCGGGCUCAACCUGGGAAUUGCUUUCAAAACUGACGGGCUAGAGUACGGUAGAGGGUAGUGGAAUUUCCUGUGUAGCGGUGAAAUGCGUAGAUAUAGGAAGGAACAUCAGUGGCGAAGGCGACUGCCUGGACUGAUACUGACACUGAGGUGCGAAAGCGUGGGGAGCAAACAGGAUUAGAUACCCUGGUAGUCCACGCCGU